CGACGCUACGCUACUUCUCUAAUUUUGCAUUUAUAUUAUCAUACUCUCUGUCAUUUCUCCAUCAACGCCGCUUCCGGUUUCUUCCUAGAUAGUCUUCUUCUCUAUUCCGAAUUUCCAUUUAGGGGUCUCAUUCGAGAACUCGUUAUUUUCUUAUUUUUCUUCGUUUGAUUCCUUGUCUCUCUAAGUAUCUUCAAUCUGAAGAAGAGGACGACUAUCGGAGGGGACAAACAAAGCAAUUGCUUUUGAUGAAGUCACUGAAAAAGAAAACUGGUAGAAGAAAGAAUUUGGUCAGCCGAAGAGGAACAGGCGACAUCUAAAAAAGAUUAUCCAUAUCACAUCUUUGCUGACAGAGAGGAGCUAAGUUGUGAAAAUUUCAGUUGGAAAUGGACAUAGUUGGAAAUAAUAAAGUUCAGUUGCUAUUUUUAACACUCCAACACGUAAGAAAUCUUCAAUUGACAUCACGAUCCACAAUAUGUGCAGCCUAUAGUACUAAUUGGAAUUACAUCUUUGUGACUGUUGAGGUCUUGAUAAGGACAUGAGCUCAGGGAUGACGAUCGGCACUGCUCGGUGUCACAAUCGUAACUCUUCAAACACGAUUGUGCGGCACUUGUUUAGCUCGAUCAACAAGUCAGCCAUUCAAAAUUCGAAAUUUGCGGACAAACUCGCGACUUGCAGGCGAUAAAUUUGAUUCAGCAAACUAUGUCGCUCUGGGAAGCCAAGGAAUUAAAGAAGCAUCUUUCAAGAUGGGAUCAUAAGUUUGCACUCUUUCUACCUCAAAGACUUGACUUUGACGGACAUACAUUUGUUAGCUUUUGCAUCCUAAGUUUUAAUGAUUUUUUUAUCCUUUUAGGGAGGUUAGUAACUAAUUAUUGAUAACCCUCAUUUUGGGAAUUUGUUGUGUGCUUGUUCUAAUUGCUGUGUUUUUCUCUUCGCUUUAAGUGAACUAGUUGUGUCUCAGUGCCAAUCCUCUUUUUGUUGAAAGUAGUUGGGCAUAUCAGUUAGGUUCCAAAUAAGUGAAGUAGUUUGUUGUUGUUGAUUUUAAUUUAACUCGUUGGCUUGAGAAUCGUGUUAAUUCCUUGCUACUUGCACAUAAUUUUGAGUGUCGAGUGUCUUGA